UACGUAGGGUGCAAGCGUUGUCCGGAAUUAUUGGGCGUAAAGAGCUCGUAGGUGGUUUGUCGCGUUUGUCCGUGAAAAACUCACAACUCAAUUGUGGGCGUGCGGGCGAUACGGGCAGACUGGAGUACUGCAGGGGAGACUGGAAUUCCUGGUGUAGCGGUGGAAUGCGCAGAUAUCAGGAGGAACACCGGUGGCGAAGGCGGAUCUCUGGGCCGAUACUGACGCUGAGGAGCGAAAGCGUGGGGAGCGAACAGG
rnacentral:rRNA from 1 species